CAGAAGCACUAGCGGCUUACGUGGACGUCACCGGCCGGAAGUGAAUGAAACAGUCUCACGCUAAACACGCAGCGUAGAGGGUCACAUUGGAAGCACGUUAGUGUUUCAUAAAAAUAAACAAUCUAGUAACUAAUUACAGUAACUGAGGUGUAAAUGGAUCUGUCUUAACCAGAGGAGGUGUACACGUGGAGAGAGAUGAGCUCAGCGUGUGCAGGCCGCCCGUGACAUCAUCUCAUCCUCAGAGAGUUAUCAGGAUCCUGUGUUCUUCGAGGAGUGCAAGCAGGAGUAUCUCAGAGAGGAACACGAAUACGAAGAGAGGGAUUCCAGCCAAGAACAGACAGCAGAAGCUUCCCACCAGCGUGUGAUGAAGAACACCGCAGUGAGGAGGAGGAGGAUGGACCAUGAAACUCAUUUCUGGCUGUUUUUGGAGACGCUGUUGUCUCUGAUGGACGUUCUCUGUAUCUGUUGCAUUGCUGCGGUUUAUAUUCAUGAUUAGCUCUUACCCACCAAAAGCCUAAUAGAAAUUCAUAGAGAAUGUAUUUGAAUCACAUCAGAUGUGUAUCGUCCCAGCGACCCCCGGGAAUUACUGCCACAGAACCUGCUUUUGAUUGUUUGUUUUAAAACAACCUCAGAGUUAUUCAUGACGCUCAUGUUCGGAUGGAUUUUCAAUCAGUCUGUGCUUCAAAUUCAGGAAGUUGUUCAAUUAGAACCUCCAGGAAUGAUUGUUCAAUUUCUGUAAUUAAGUGUCUGUAAUUGUUUGUAGCACUGUAGCAACAUAAAAAAAAAGCAAAAUAUAAUAUAAAUAGCUAGUGAUAUUGUGUACUUGUAAUAAUAUAUACAGCACAGGUCAAAAGUUUGGAAACAUUACUAUUUUUAAUGUUUUUGAAAGAAGUCUCUUCUGCUCAUCAAGCCUGCAUUUAUUUGAUCAAAAAUACAGAAAAAACUGUAAUAUUGUGAAAUAUUAUUACAACUUAAAAUAAUAGUUGUCUAUUUGAAUAUACUUUAAAAAAUAAUUUAUUCCUGUGAUGCAAAGCUGAAUUUUCAGCAUCAUUACUCCAGCCUUCAGUGUCACAUGUAACAUCCAGUCUAUCACAUGAUCAUUUAGAAAUCAUUCUAAUAUUCUGAUUUAUUAUGAGUGUUGGAAACAGUUCUGCUGUCUAAUAUAUUUGAUGAAUAAAAGGUUAAAAAGAACUGCA
ensembl:lncRNA